rnacentral:lncRNA from 1 species
GUGAAUGUCCCUGAGGGGGAAACUAAUCAGGUAGAGUUACAAAUAGGAAUACUUUUAAGGCACCAUCAUUUUAACUUAAGUAACAAAAAAGUAAGCUAUUUUCUCCACUUGGCUCUUAUCAGUCACAACUCACAAAUAAGAGCUACUCAAUGAUAUAAUUUGGGAAUAAUCUUUUUUCUUAAGCUAAUAACUUCGCAUAAACCAAAACCCAGGAAACAAAACUAAGAAAAAAAAGAGAAAAUAGAAAUAGAAAGGUAAGAAAUUCAACGGCAACCCAUAACCAAAAAUCAAAGGAGAGGAAAUAAGAAAGAAAACCCUCAGCUACUAUCUAAAAAAUUAAUUCAGAAAUGAAGGAUUUGACUAAAGGAAUUUUUUUCCUGUAAAAUGCAAAACACAAUCAAGAACAGUGCCUUUAUAUUUUCAUUCACAAACUCCCCAAAAGCAAUUCCACAGUAAAAUCAUAUGAUGGAAGUCAAAAUUCAGUUUAAGCAUUUGAGUGAACACAUGGAGUGCAUCAUUACUAUGAUCAGAGUAAAGAAGAGCAAUGAAGGCUACAAAUAAUACUCAAAAAAGAAAAAAAAUUGAGAAGAAAGAUCCCAGGGGUCACCUUAAAGAUUGAAGCCUCAUUUUUCACACCCUAUUACAACUAAAACAAAUUUCCAAUAAAUGAUAAGUAAAUGUAGAAAUUGCAGAACAAUAACUAUAAAGUAAUAACAGGAAAAAAAAAUUAACCUCUGCAUCGAUGAAGAAAACGAACCUUGAUCUUCCAUGUAUCUUUGUCAGGACAUAAACUGCAGAGGGUAUUCACAGGGUCAUCAAUGACAAACAUGAGUAAAUGAGUAAAACUGAUCAAAGAUAAGGCAAAGGUAAAACUCCACAAAGUGGAUCACGAAUCCUGAAUCAGGAAUUCAAGAACAAAGGAAGUUGCAGAAUGUGAAGAAAAGACAAACAAUAGCAGUAUUUAUAGAGAUAUGAGAGGAAGAAAGCUAUUACUCUAACAGUAGUUGGGCAUUAAUGAAUAGACUAACUAUUUGCAAGAUCAAUCAACUGUAGGAUUUUAUUGGGAAAGUGAUGACUUUAAAUACAAAACGAACCUGCUACCUGACGUGAUCCGCGCUUGGCCAGAAUUCAAUGACGAAAUCGCCCAUCAUCUUCGCUGCUUCUUCAGAUCCUCAAGAAGAAGGUGCAGAUGUAGGCAAUCCAGGAGGAGUAAUAUGAGUUUGACUAUAAAGAAUAGUUGUGGCAGUGGUGGGGGGCCCCCCCCCUUUUNNNNNNNNNNNNNNNNNNNNNNNNNNNNNNNNNNNNNNNNNNNNNNNNNNNNNNNNNNNNNNNNNNNNNNNNNNNNNNNNNNNNNNNNNNNNNNNNNNNNAGGUCCCACAUCAAAGGGUGUGUGAACCUCACAAGAGGGUUGAGCUCCUAUGUUGAGAUAUAAGAAAUGGGUUCACAAAGCUUCUAUGUUGUGACACUGGAAUGGGUGGUUGUGACCUCCGACAGACAUAGAGCAUUGAACCAAUAUCUCUCAUUUAGAAAAUGUGGAGAUUUGUAAUAAUGCUGAUUUUGGUGUUUUAUUUGGAUGUCGAUAAGAACCUCUACCAUUUCCUCAUCUCCUUCGUCGAGAAGAAUUGCUACUUCAUUCUCUCUCGCGGAGAAGCUCGAAGCCCAUGUGACAUGCAUUGUUGUCCUUGGAUGUCCGCCAACACCUAAGCGCUUAACAGUCUCCCACUAACAAAGAGAAUUAAAUUAAAAUUCCAAGAGACAAAAACCCAUUCAUAUCAAAUAUUUAACGCAUCUACACCACCAACAUAUUUAAACCUGAAUAAUUUAGUCUAGUUGAAAAAAUCAAGAAAAUAUGAAAUGAAUGUAAUACUUGGGUGAAAAAAAAAUAGAAUUUUACUCAUAACCCAAAUCACUUUUCACCUCAUUCACGUGCACUCUAGAGGCUAGAGCAAGAUAUGGCUAGCCAAAAUUUUGGAACUUUAUGCUAGGGGAAUAAUGAACAGUUAUACAAUAGAAUUCUGAACGAAUUAAAUUCCCUAAUCUUUUCCUUAGAAUGUUAGUACAGUGAUAGCGUAUAUUCAACAAUCUACACAAGCAAAUAGACUAAUACAACUUUUUCCUUUUACACUUUUUAACUAGAUAAAUGUCGUGAUCAAAUCUUUCAUAAAACGAAGCAACGAUAUGCAAACAUGAUCUGCAAUUUUUUUGCCCAUUUUUUUACACAGUGAAUCCAUGAAAAUUAAUUAUCACCAGUGUUUGAGUGCAAGACUAGUUCAUUAAAUAGCCCCACUACUGAACAUGGUUUGUCCAAGUUAGUUGUCACUUGUCAUGUUGUCCAAGUCUCAUAAGAGCCAAAGAUUCUUCACCACUCUUUUUAAAUUGUGAUAUGAUCAUGUUACUUCUUCUAUGAAUUUGAGUUCCUUUGUUUCACUUUCACCCCCUCUCUAAAUGUGCCCACUGACACAACACAACACAACACACCCUAUGCAAAUUGCAAAACACCCUUCUCUGUGAACUGCUGACAACAUUUGUACUUGAAUAUUUUCAUGGUAACCUGAUAGUUUCUUUUAAAUUUUCACUUUGAGAGAGCAUCUCUCUUCUGAAGCAUGUUUUUGCCUACCAGUUGUUUGAUGAAUUGAUGCAUAGUUGUUUCAGGAAAGGAAAAUUAAAGGGGUGUUUGCAUAAAGAAGAAACAUAAAAGGAGCUGCUGGUGUUGGCAUGGUAAAGGGAAUGUGGAACUUUUUGGGGGUGAACAUUCUAAAGGAGAGUUAAGUUAAAGAGUUCAGAAGCUUGGUAGUUGUUGAAGUGUACCUACCUAGGAGGGAAAAAAAGGUGGAAAGGAGAUAAUAUGCCAACUGUGUGGUUCUCCCUGAAGAGGUCUCUACACUGCAAAUCAGAGCCAACAGAUGUUCAUGUUCCAAAGUCAAGGAAGCAUUUGGCCACAAUCUUGACUAAAAGGGCAGGGACAGGGAGGUCAGGGUGUUCAAGGUCCAUAGCAAAUCUCAAAGAUGUCAUCCAUGGAAGCAAGAGGCAUUUAGAGAAGCCACCAAGUUGCAGCCCGAGGUCCAUAGGGAGCAGUGAGUUCCUCAACCCAAUAACCCAUGAAGUCAUUUUGAGCAACUCAAGGUGUGAGCUGAAAAUCACUGGCUAUGGAGGAUUCCAAGAAGGAGGGGUUGCCAGUGAUGGUAACAACAAUGGUGGUGAAACUGGUGAUUCAACCUUUGUAGGUACUCUAAGGCCUGGGACUCCUGGCCCUGGAGGGCACCCUACAAUGCACUAUUUCAACCCUUCUUAUAAGACACCAGCCACUCCUCCAAGGAAGUUAUCACCUUUCCUUUCAUCAGAUAAAGAAGGGUCUGGCUUCCAUGGUGCUGGAUUUCAUUCUAGCCACAGGUUGUCCCUUGAGACAGAUUCUAAUGGGCCUUGUAAUGUGACUUGCCACAAAUGUGGAGAGCAAUUUAGCAAAUGGGAAGCUGCUGAAGCUCAUCAUCUCUCCAAGCAUGCUGGUAAGUCACCAUUUUGUUUAAUUAGCUUCUUCUAAUCUCAUAAACUUUCUAGCCACAUCUAUGUCAAGUUGUACAUGAUUUCUUAUGUUAUGUUGAGGAACCUUUUCAGUUUGGAACAACCAAAAUGGUUUCUUUUCAUUGCCUUGUAUUUGCAACAACCUUAACCAAGAGAAGUUCUAUGAGUGAACACUCAGUUUGUCUUGAAAGAAGAAAAUGCCCUCAAAAGUCUCUAAAUGUGUGAAGUUAGUCAAGUUAGUCCCUCUGUCACUUUUGGUUAGCUACACAUUAAUGGAUUUUUUAAGGUAUUUCCUUCUUUCAGGGAUGAACCUGGAAACACGGUAUUUUUGCAUGGAUGAAUCUGAGGGUUCACUCGAAUUUAUAUUCUCUUGGUAAUUUUUGCACUGUUUUUUGGAUUAAGAAUUAAAGGGCAAGUUUUUGUUUUGACAGUUACUGAACUUGUCGAAGGUGAUUCAUCAAGAAAAAUAGUGGAGAUAAUAUGCAGGACGAGCUGGUUAAAGUCUGAGAACCACUGUGGUCGAAUUGAAAGAGUUUUGAAAGUCCAUAACAUGCAGAAGACACUGGCUAGGUUUGAAGAGUACAGAGAGAUGGUGAAAAUCAAAGCCAGCAAACUCCAGAAGAAGCAUCCUAGGUGUUUGGCUGAUGGGAAUGAGCUUUUGAGGUUCUAUGGCACCACUCUUGCAUGCUCUCUUGGUCUCAAUGGUUCUUCCAGCCUGUGCCAAUAUGAAAGAUGCUGUGUUUGUAGAAUUAUCAGAAAUGGGUUUUCUUCCAACAAGGAGGAGCUCAAGGGUGGAAUUGGUGUUUUCACUACUUCCACAAGUGGAAGGGCUUUUGAAUCUAUUGAGAUUUUAGGCCAUGACCCAUCACUGAGAAAAGCAUUGAUAGUAUGCAGAGUCAUUGCUGGCAGGGUCCAUAGACCUCUGGAAAACAUUCAGGAAAUGGCAGGACAGACAGGGUUUGAUUCAUUGGCUGGCAAAGUUGGUCUCUAUUCAAACAUUGAGGAGCUUUAUUUGCUCAAUCCUAGAGCUCUUCUUCCUUGCUUUGUGGUCGUUUGCAAACCCUGAAGCUAAGGUUAAAGUAAUGCCAGUUUGCAUGUUUGGGUACAAUGUGAUUUUUUUUAAGUUGGAAGAAUUGAUUCUGGAAAAAGCUACUCCGAGUAUCUUUUAUGGCAGCAGAAUUGGUUCCGGUAGAUCUGAAUGAAUUCAAACUUGCUAAAUAUUGAUUGUUUAGUUUUUAAGGGAUAAGGAGGUUCUUCACCAAGAUUUUGAAGAAUUUUGGUUCAACUUCCCAAGUCAUGUGUGCUUCUUUGUUUAUUGAAUGAAUCACCUAUUCAUACAUUUGUAACUUUUUUUAGUGGCACUGAAAAUUUUCAUCUGCAGAAGGAUGAUGAAGUGCCCUAAGUACAUGUUGUAAGAUAUUGACAUCAACCUCAGCUUAACUAAUUAACUACCCUUUGGAUGUUUCCACUUGGAUUAAUGGUGAUUGACUCCUUGCUGUUGGUUUCAGAUAGUAAAUUUGUUUCCUUGUUGUAUUAAUUGGUCUAUAAAUUUUGUCUAUUGAAUUGGGUAAGGCCANNNNNNNNNNNNNNNNNNNNNNNNNNNNNNNNNNNNNNNNNNNNNNNNNNNNNNNNNNNNNNNNNNNNNNNNNNNNNNNNNNNNNNNNNNNNNNNNNNNNGGGAACAAAAUAGUUACCCUCACUUGGCACAAUAAGGAUCGCGGGACACAAGUUUGUGCACAAAAACUCUCCAUUCUUUUGGGAAGAAUUUUAAAAUAAAACCCAGUGGCCUUCCUAAGGGUAUGGACCAAUCCGACCUGGGUGGUUCCGAUUUUGGCCAAUUUGGGAAGUUAGAGGAAUAUGUUCACAUUGAGGCAAUAUUCCUGGUUUCUCUCUUCUUCCAUUUGGGUGUCAAUGCUUGAUAAACAUUUAAUUGGAAGUUUCUGUUGGAGCUUAUGGACCAUCUGAGGUCAGAAGUUAGAACAAAUUAGAAAUGCUCUCAUGGGAAACUUUCUCAUGUUUAUUUUAAAAUUUGGUGCCAAUCUCUCACUUUGUAUAUAAACAGGUAAGUCUCUUUGAAUGUUUUUUAAGAGAAGCAUACACACACUGGUUCGCGAGGAGUGUUACCAACAGUCACUUUAAAAUUAUUUUAUGAACACUCUCAGUGAUUUAUUAAAAUUCAUGUGUAUCCCAUUAAAUUGAAAGUGAAUCUCAUAUUUUCAGUGAAUCUCACAUAAAUUUCAAUCAAUCAGAGUAUUAGGAAGAAAGUGUUAAAAGUGAAUAUUAUUAGCAUUUUUCAUGUUUCACUUGAAAUUUUUAUGUGAAAUGAGAGGAUAAUCCCUAUUUGAGAUAAGGCUAUGCGCAGGACCAUCUCUCAAUUCUCUCCCCCUACAUGUAUUAAUAAGUUGCUAUGUCAUAAUGAAAAUAUGGCAAGUUUAUUGGCCACUUUAGGUGGUCUUAACUCCAAAUGGUAAUGACGUUUCAUUACUGUAACAUCUGCACAACUUUCAAGUUCUCAUGCCACAUGCACCCCAUAAAUGUGUACUCACCCUCAUUACACAACUACCACCCUUGUUUGGGGAUGGGAUCAUUGAAUGAAUCUUCAUUGGAUAGUUCAAUUCUUUUAACUUAAUUGUUGUGGAAAUUUGAACUGAAAUGAGCUAGGUGCAGUUGGCAUGAGACUCAUAAUUAGCCUGUAACAACUACACAGCCAUUGAAAGCUUUAAUUAAUUUUCAGAAUUCUGACAAUUUAUGAACAUUUGCGGUUUCUCACUUAAAUGUUUGAUUCAGAGUUCAGACUUUCAUUUCCUGAUAGAUAGAAAUCAGUAUAUUAAAGACAAGGGAAAAAAUAGUGAAGGACCACCCAAAGAAGAAUGGGAUACUAUACCCUGGCCUAUAAUUAUUUCUGAACAAAUUGGUCUUAGCACUAUCUAUAUUGCACCUAACAAGAAAUUUUUAUCAUGAUUGCUGGCUUUCCACUUUUUAAAGAUGCAGUUCAAAUCAGAUUAUCGAGUGUUUGGAAAGCUUUCUACAAUUCUGAAGUUAAAAUUAAUUUUGAAGAGAAGCUCCUAUAAAUAGCUUAUGUGUUAUAGAAUUCUUUCUGAGGAAAAAAAGACUGAUCCAAACAUGCUAUGAGUAGUUUGAAUGAAUAACAACUUACAUCCUUGAAUUUGCUUACUCAGCAUUAAUUAUAAAACCAGAUUUUGACUUUCCAAAAAAACCAAAUGGAAAUUUCUGUGAACUAACAACCAAAAUGAGCUGCAUCAUUAGAAUUAUGUGCGGAAUUAAUUGACCAGCUAUAAUUCAUCAUAACUGAUUUAGAUACAUGUAUCUUUCAAAGUGGUGCCUUAGCUUGUUAUGUUGAAAUAUUUGAUUAAACUUUUUCUAGAGAUGUAAUUACUCUGUGGUACAUUUUUGGUUCCAUUGAAGACUCAUUCUAUUUUUGAAAGUACAGUGAGGGUCAAAUAAAUUCAGGAGGUUUCACUCUAUAUGAACCAACCACCAUUUAAGUUCAUAGAGUUUGAUAGAUGAGAUACAAUAAUAACUUCCUAUUUCCUGGUGCUUUUGAAGUCAUCAACCUCUCUUGGUUGGUGUGAUUGCCGCAUAUCAAGCUUGUAAAUUUCAGACCAGGUCCCUACUAUUGACCAUAUGAAUUUGGAUUUUUUGUGCUCAGAAAAAUCCUAAAUUCACACGGUUAAAGAAUUUGAAUCAUUCAAUCAAAAACAUACGGCUUAGAUUCUGAAUUUAUCUGAACUGUUUGAUCUUGAUGAAACCUAUGAGCCAUCCAAUAAUGGUGAAUUUAGAAUUGUCCUAAAUGCAGGAAACCAAAUCCUAUCCAUAUAUGAUGGCUAUGAAUUCUUGUAACAAGUUAAGAUUAACUAAUAGACAGCAAAUAUUCAAGAAGGAACUUGGAACUUUUGGCUGUGAUGGCACUUAUUGAAGGUGUGAGAACAACCCUUUUCACAGAGUUGGAAUUCAAUCAAGAUUUGAGAAAGUUUAAGGUUCCUUUGAUUGUAGGAUCAAUUAUAUUUGCUUCAACAAAAGCCUCUGCAAUUUAAGACAGGGCACAAGAAUCAUAGACCAUUCCACAAAUUGCCAAGAGUUUUGUUUACUUCAAGUUUCAUUGAAAGAAUUAGUCAUGGCCAAAUGCAAGCUAUCUUGAAAUCAGGGCCUUGUUCAGUCGUUUUGGGAGGGUUUCAAAUCGGUUCAUCCAAAGGAGAAGGAAGCCUGGAAGGAGAGCCCGUUUCGGCUUUGUUCGUUUUGUUUCUAAAUCUCAAGCUAGGAAAGCUAUUCAUCAUCUUGACGGUGCUAGGGUCAACAACACUUCCUUAUCCGUUUCAAUGGCCAGGUACCCCAAGCAACUUGCUCGGUGUCCUCUGGUUGCUGCGUGUUCUAGGAUGGUAGGACCCCUAAGACAUGGCAGAGGAAGGAAGUUACUCUUGUUUUUGCUUCUCGUUCCUGGAGGGAUGUUGUAUUAGGCUUUCCGAAGGGUGAGAGACCAGGUUUUUUCUCCCCGGAGGAGGAUUCGAUGAUGGCGUCUCUAUUUCGGUGUUAUAAUUUGGUUGCUGGAUUCCAGUAGAGGUUUUCUUUCCUGAGAUUUAGCAAUGGCAAUCCGGGGCAGAUGAGGAGGAGAAAGUAGAACAUUUGUUCGAAGGAGAAGCUUUAAGACCACAUACCUUUGCUCUUUUUAGGCAUUCUGUAAAGAGACUCAGACCUAUGGGUAUUUCAGCGGGAAUCGGCUCUCCUCAAAUCUGUGAGGCUGGAUUGUGCUAUCGGGGAGGACUUCCUGAUCCACAUUAAUGGUGCUAUAAUAGUUUCUCUUAAUCUGGAUUUCUCCUUUGCGCCCCUUGGCUUUAGGAGCCUUUUCUGGUUCAUUGGAUCUUUUCUUUCAUCAGGUUGCUUCUGGUUUCAGCUCUUUUGAAGGUGGGCUUGUGCAGCAAAGGAAGGAUUGUUCGGUUGGUAUUGUUGGGAGCUCCUUUCCUUCUACGUGUUUCACUGUAGAGUCUGUAGGUGAUGGCAUCCCUUCUUUAUCUUCAGGGAGUUGCCUUGGCUCAAGUUGCGUGGAAGAUGUCAUUGAGGUUGCUUCUCUGUUAGGUGAUAGCUUCUUUGAGAGGGAGGAAUCUUCAUCGCCUUUUGCUUCUCUUCCUCAUCGUAGAGGGCGUCCUAAAAAGGUCAAGAGGGGGCGCAAGCCCCGCCAGAUGCAUAUGGCCACCUGUAUGGAUUUGCUUGCGGCUGAUGGUGGCAGCUCUGUCCCUGCUACGAUUACGCCUUCGGUUCCUCUUGCUUCUCUAAAUCUGGGAAGUGCUCCAGGUGGUCAUUAUUGGACGCCGACCAAGAAGGCGUGGCUCGUCGGCAAGUUAGUGGGCUUGACUUUUGAUGGUGGGGAUGAGGAGGAUAUCCGCGGGCUAGAAAAGGAAAUGAAGGAUUGGUGGCCGCCCUGAGUGUCGAGGUCUCUAUAGGUUUUUUUGUAUUGGUUCUAGUUUAGGUGUUUGGUUUUGUUUCUUUGCCUCCUUUUGGUCUUUGACUUUUGGUUCAGAGCAGUUUUUAUGUUUUCUUUUAGGGUGGUAAGCGGGUGUUUAUCAUGUGGAUGGAUGAUGAUUUUUGUUUUUGUUAUCCCCUCCGUUGUCUUGUUUGCUAGGAUUUUGUCCUAUGUCUUGGGCUUAAUCCCUUACCUCCUUAUCUAUAUAUAUAUUUGGAUUUCCAAAAAAGAAUUAGUCAUGGCCUUACCAAUAUUUUCUUUCUUCACAACACUGAAUUCCAUGGAAGUUGUGACAUGAAAACCACUAUGGAAACCAUUUUAACAAUCUCAAUUGGUCACCUCCCUUCAAGAGUGAUAGGAGGUGUAAUGACUUUUUUGAUGCAUUAAUAAAAUAGAUAUAAAGAAUUUAUAUAAGUUUUAUCCUUUAAUAAAAUGGAUGCUCUAACUUUUUUUUCAAGGUUCUUGAAUUAAUAUCACAAGGGUUGCCUAACAACAUUUCUAUCAAGCAAACAGGGCAAUACAAACCCCAAAUAAGCACAAAAGAGCUACAUUACAAUGCUUAAAAAUAAAAUACUACAAUACCAAGCAUCCACUUAAUCUAAUGGCCCAAUAUCUAAAAUUAGAAGAGUCUAAAAAAAUAAAAAACUAACCCAAAGAAAGGAAAAAAGGCUUAGCGGAAAAAGAAACCUAUAAAGUAUAAACUAAAAUCAAAGUUAUGGGCUUCUAUGACGUUCAAGAAAGGAGCACCAGUCCACCUGACAACCCUAAGGUUUCGCUUGAGUAUAAGUCUAAAUAGAGGAAAUUUAACUUGACUACUUAAAUUAGACUUGAAAGGGAGUGUUGAAAUAACAAUGGUCUCACAUCAGUGGGUUUAUUAACUAAGUGAUAUAGUAUAUAUACUUGGGUGUUCUAAGUCCAAAAUUUUGGACUACACUACACACUCACUCACCAAUCCCAAACACUCUUUAACCUUUAGUAACCUUUUGGGUCUGUGAAUUUCCAACCCAACAAGUUGUAUCACAAAAUCACUAAGUGAAUAGAAACAAAAUAAAAAAGGACCUCUUAAUCCCAUUCCACAUACAAAAAGACUUCUUCACGUACAAAGAAACCUCUAGCUAAUUUUCUUAAAUCAAAUCCUUCACUUUAACUUCUCCAGUUUUCGGAGGCUUGUUGGUUUUGCAAGAACUGUUGUUUUAGUGUAUGUUUAGUUUGACGUUGGUGCAAACACUUAUGUGGUUUUACUUAUCUCAAGGUAUCAACGGAGAAACUAGAACUUGCCACAUUAAGUCUAUUGUGAAUCGUAAAAUAGAUUUUGUCAAAUCAAGUUCAAGGUGNNNNNNNNNNNNNNNNNNNNNNNNNNNNNNNNNNNNNNNNNNNNNNNNNNNNNNNNNNNNNNNNNNNNNNNNNNNNNNNNNNNNNNNNNNNNNNNNNNNNCGCACAUGCAUAGAGUCUUGUCAUCAGUACUUGACUUAAUACUCUCAGUUUUUGCAACGAAUUCUACCCUGGAAGAUGAUAUGAUUCAACAAAGUAGUUAAAGUCUUUUAAAUCAUUUGUAGUAUACUCCAAUUCAAAGUUUCUAUUACUAAAUCAAUGUAUUCUUUAUUGUCUUCUAGUAAGUCCAUUGCAUAGCACAUGCCCUUAUGCCUGCCUAUAAAAAAAAUGCCCUUGUGCCUCAUAUGUGUGCCCUUUAGAAUUUCCUAACUCAUAAAAAUCAAAUAAUAAUAAUAAAAAAAUUAAAUAAUUUUGAGGUAAAUAGAAUAAGGAUAUAGCAUGACAUGGAUGGGUAGACUGAAACCAUCAAAUAAAAUUUGCACUACCACUACUUCUGGUACGUGUGGUUAAAUUGUGUUUAUUAAAAAUUUUGUGGUUAAUAUAUUAGUUAUAAAUUUCAAAGGGCUGCGAUAUGAGCAGUUUCGACUACCCAUAAAAAAAAUUACAUGUGCCUAUGUAAUCACUUUUUUUAAUAAUUCAGUCAUUAUUAGAUAACUAAAUAAAUAAAUAAAAUAGAUUAUAACCUAUCUAUACCAUAAAGACAGUAGAUAAAAGAUGAAGGCCAACUUUAUUGAAGAAGAUGGGAUUGAAAUAUGCAAAAUUGGAUGGAAAUAUAUAAAUCAUGCAAAAGGAUACUAUCUCCCUAAGUUAACUAACUAAUACAAUUUUGACUCGUAGUGAAGCUGGGAAUGCUUGCUCUUCACAGGUUCUUGGAAAAUUAUCAAGUAAGGGCAUGGUGAUUAAGAGUUAAAGACACUAUCAUGAGCUGGAAAAACACACCCACGUCAGUAUAGAAGAUUAAAAGUACUCAAGAAAACCAAAGGUAAAAGAAAUCAAGUUUAAUAAAAAAAAUUAAAUCAAAGUUCAGCAUAUGCCCUUGAGGUGGAUGCAGCUGCAUUUAGUGAUGAUCCCGCUCUUGAUUUUUCCUCUCUGAGGCCUCGUCCUCGUGGUCGGCCUAAGAAAACUAAAGAGGCAUUGAUCAGAAUGGAGUGUUCUCGGCGGCAUAGAGGUCGUCCUCGUAAAUCUGAGAGUGUGACUAUCACUAAUGUGUCGGCGCCGCCUAGUCUUCCUUCUUCAUCGGGCCCUUAUUUCACGCGAGCAAAGAAGGCUUGGUGUCUUGCUCAGUCUGCAAGCAUGUCCUUCCUUGGUAGCGAUGAAAAUGCCAUUCGAGAGUUGACUGAAGUUAUUAAAGGAAAUUCCCCUUUUAGUUGUUAGGUUGGCUGCGCUUUUUUCUUUUGGAUGGUUGUUUUUUAUCCUUGGUUGGGUUGGUGGUUGUUCCCCUCUUUGUGGUCUUUGUGGGUUGUUUCCUUUUUCGAUUAUUAAUGAAUAAUAUCUCUUUUGCUCUAAAAAAAAUAGUUUAACAACAAAUUACUACAAAUCAUGUUGCUAUCUUUCUCUCACUAACUCUAGCACAUUUCUAGGACUUCAUUUUAUCAUUUAGCUAUCACAUUUCUGUUUAACAAAAGAUGAAAUAGUCAAUUCCCUAAAAAAAAUUGAGGGAACAAUUUCAUUUUUAACUAUUUCACCCCACACGAAGAAAUAAAUAAAAAGAGAAGACUUUCACUGUUUUAAUUU